UACUCUAAAUCACUUUUUACCAACCUCAAAACCACUCUCUCUGCUUUCUCUCAAACCACCCCUUCUUAUCUCCUUCUUUUCCCCCUUUGAUCAAAGGCCAACGCCACGGCCACCGCCCCACGCAGGCUCUGACGAAGAGCCCAAAAGGCCCGAUGACAAUCCCUAACCUUAGAUCUUUCUCCUCUUACCCAAAAACCUUAGACCUAAGCCUUCCAAAACAAAAAACCCACUCAUUUUCUAUUUGAAACCAGACAACAAACCUUAAACCUCCUUAUCACCACAAUUCUCCAGCUCCAACGAAGAGUCGAGAAAUCUAACCCAAAACCUAAAAAUGAAACCCUCACCUUAGACCUAGGCUUUACAGAAAAAACCCCCUUUUUGAAAUUAAAAGAGAUUAAAUAACAAAUGCUAAGAGACUUGAUGGAUUACCCUUGGCGGCUCAACGGAUUCUGGGCACUUGGCACUGGUGACAGAACCCUUCGGGUAGGAAAGAUACAAAGGAAACCGUUUAGGACAAACGAGGACAUUUGGCCUUUUCGGGUGGAACUUGGUCGUUGGAUCGCUGACUAGAUCCAUAGGUUACCAUAACGCGGCAGCAGCAGAACGUGAUGUUAGGGUUAACAGGCCCUAACCCCAAACCUAUCCAGCCAUUGAUCUCACGAUAGAUCCUAUGGUGCACAUUGAACGACGGUGAGAACUCCAUCAGAGAACCCUACUGGGUUUAGGGUUCUCACAAGUGGCAUUGGGCUUCCAUUCAAUUCGGGUUUGGUAACUGGGUUGUUAAUGUGUGCUUUUGGGCUCCUAACAACUGGGUAUGGGUUGGGGUAAUUUGUAACUGAUGUAGACAUUUAACAGAGAAGAAAGAAAAUUAAUAAAAUUUAAUGCAUUUUAAAUUAACGUUAUACA